GACGAACGCUGGCGGCGUGCUUUACACAUGCAAGUCGAACGGUGAACUCGGUGCUUGCACCGGGGGAUCAGUGGCGAACGGGUGAGUAACACGUGAGCAAUCUGCCCCUAACUCUGGGAUAACUGCGGGAAACCGCAGCUAAUACCGGAUAAGACCCAGGGAGGCAUCUUCACUGGGUGGAAAGUUUUUCGGUUAGGGAUGAGCUCGCGGCCUAUCAGCUAGUUGGUGGGGUAAUGGCCUACCAAGGCGACGACGGGUAGCCGGCCUGAGAGGGCGACCGGCCACACUGGGACUGAGACACGGCCCAGACUCCUACGGGAGGCAGCAGUGGGGAAUAUUGCACAAUGGGCGCAAGCCUGAUGCAGCGACGCCGCGUGAGGGACGACGGCCUUCGGGUUGUAAACCUCUUUCAGCACAGACGAAGCGCAAGUGACGGUAUGUGCAGAAGAAGGACCGGCCAACUACGUGC
rnacentral:rRNA from 1 species